CCGUUUAUUUAAAACCAUUUGAAAUAUGCGACAAGGAGAAAUACUGUGCGGCGCGUUUCGCAUCAAUAUUCAUUCAAUUGCUUCAAGUUUAGUCACAGCCACAAACGAAGAAUAAUGUUUACGAAGCUCAAAGCCACAUGUUAAGAAGAAGCCAUUAUCUAUAAAGUUGAAAGCGAUGUGCUAACAACUUGAUUUUCACGUUUGCCAGCGUCAGGAAUACUUUCAAAGAAGUUUUGACACCGCCAUACACGAAGUAUAAUGUUUACGAAGCGCAAAGCCACAUGUUGUGACAAGCUGAUGAAAA